AGUUUGACACUACAAUGUUUAAAAUUAAAAAUUUAAAUAAAAAAUCUAGUUAUAAAAUUAAAACCAUUUUAUACAAAAUAAAAUGAUUUUAGAAUAAUUUUAAAGACGGAUUCUAAAAAAGCUGCUGUCCAAAUUAAAUACAAAAUUAAUAAAAAUCGAUAUUAGUUGUAGCUCAAUAGUCGAUUAGUUGGUGUGCGUGUGAUCUAUUAGUAACUUUACUAUUUAGUGUCAUUGGCAAAGGUAGUAUCAUACAGGCUAAGCAAGGGUGUCUUUAUUAUGUACAAUUUAAAAAAUAAACUACAGCGCCAAAACAAUUCAAUUUGAAUUUCGAAUCACAAAAUUAAAAUUCGAACACGCUUUUAAAUUUCGAACGUCACAAAUAAAAUCAAAUAUUAUUUAUAAUUAUUUCUAAAUAAAUGUUUUUAAUGGUAUAAGAAAAUAAAUUCACUAAAAAUGUAAUUUUAAAUAUGUAAUUAAAAUGUAUUACUAAACGCCAUCUUCAGGACGUUACCGCGCAACGAUUAAGAAAACAGCAAUAAAAAAAAGUAUCUAACUAAAACUUUAAAAAUAAGGCCACGGAAAAGGCAAAGGCUAAAUGAUUGAAGCAAAAAUAAAAAUAUAUCCAAAGGAAACAGUUUACAAAUUAUUCAAAUAAACAAAAUAGUUUGAAAUGGAAGGGUCAUCUAAAGCCGUGGAAGAUAUUCCCGAUCCUGAUUUUUUCGACAAUACUAAGGCCGCUAUAGAAAAGGAACUUGAUAGAAUGAAAAAAGUUGUCAACAAUAUCAAUCAAAUGAGAGUGGAAGCAGCCUACUUACAAUCAGAUUUGAUCUUGAUGAUUGAUGCACAUACAUGGGAAGAAAUAUCCGAACUUAUUGGACUUACAACCUCUUCAAUGACUAUGGACAGUCUUAGUAAUAAAGAAAACAAUAAAUAAAUUACAAAUAA